rnacentral:rRNA from 1 species
CCCUUAGAUGUCCUGGGCUGCACGCGUGCUACACUGAUGAAUUCAACGAGUUUAUCACCUUGGCCGAAAGGUCUGGGUAAUCUUUUGAAAUUUCAUCGUGCUGGGGAUAGAUCAUUGCAAUUAUUGAUCUUCAACGAGGAAUUCCUAGUAAGCGCAAGUCAUCAGCUUGCGUUGAUUACGUCCCUGCCCUUUGUACACACCGCCCGUCGCUCCUACCGAUUGGGUGUGCUGGUGAAAUGUUCGGAUCGGCCGUUUGUCGCGGUUUCCGCGUCAUGUGGCUGAGAAGUUCAUUAAACCCUCCCACCUAGAGGAAGGAGAAGUCGUAACA